UACGUAGGGUCCGAGCGUUGUCCGGAAUUACUGGGCGUAAAGAGCUCGUAGGUGGUUUGUCGCGUUGUUCGUGAAAACUCACAGCUCAACUGUGGGCGUGCGGGCGAUACGGGCAGACUUGAGUACUGCAGGGGAGACUGGAAUUCCUGGUGUAGCGGUGGAAUGCGCAGAUAUCAGGAGGAACACCGGUGGCGAAGGCGGGUCUCUGGGCAGUAACUGACGCUGAGACGCGAAAGCGUGGGGAGCAAACAGG
rnacentral:rRNA from 1 species